rnacentral:rRNA from 1 species
AUGGAUGGACGGGCGUCCGUGCGGUGGUCUAGCUGGUCCGUGGCCCAGGACGUUUACUUUUUGGGCCGAGCUUUGGAACAGCGUGCGCGUCCGGUCGAGGUGGCCCGGCCAGGUCGCAAAUGUGAGGGCGUCUGUCUGCCCGACCCUGACCUAGGUGCUUCUCAAAAAAAAAAAGGUGCUUCUCGAAACCUGCCGCCGCCGCAGACGGCUACUUCCCAUCCCCAAGGCUGCGCGGAAGGCUGUGGUUGCUCCGGCUGGCUGGUGAUGGAGGACGCUAGCUUGAGUUCUUGUUGGACGCCGAUGACGGGUUUUCGCUGGGAGAAGAGUUUGCGGACAGCUAGGAAGAACCAGAUCCGGUCCCUCUGCGGUGCUCCCGCGGCUGAAUGCUGCCCCUGCUAUGCCGGCGGACUCGAAUAUUGGCUCCGGGUGCGGGCAGCAUGUUGGUGGCUCCGGAGGGCAACAAGCGCCGGCGACGGCAGGCUUCUCCGACGAUGUAGCAGGCCCCUGACAGGGUCAAUCCCGAGGCGCCGGGCUGGACCAAAAGGUACGAUGGAGAUAAAUAGGUUACACCUUGGGAGUGCACCGUCCGACAAAACGCCGUGUCCAUCUAGGAUGAGCGCCUUAGAGCAGACAAGUCGCAAGUAUGCAGAUCAGCCUGCAAAAAAUGUGCGGCCUGAACUAGGACUGAGUUUCUACUCGCUUGAUGAUUUGUAUGACUUCUACAACUUGUAUUCGUGGGAGAUUAGCUUUGGGAUUAGAUAUGUCAAGAACAAAUUGAAUGCCGAGCGGACCAAAUCAAUGCAGGAGAUUGGAAAGCUCAUUCUUGACACUAGUUGUUUCUGUGCAGGCCUUGUUGGGCCUGCUGCUCCGGAAGAGCAGACAGGUGUCGACAGGCCAACGAAUAGCCGGGAGAAAGCACCGUAUGAUAUUCUGCAGGCUGCAGCAUUUGUCAUCGCAAAGGCCACAAGAGAACAACCUACCCCGACAGGGAAUGCAAGAGCACCAUCGGUGGUGCUCAAAAUCAGAUCGAUACAUCAGGUAUACAGGCAGAAAUACAACCGUGGGCACACAUCUUCAUGCGAUCAGAUGGGGAGGAUUUCAAGAUCAGCUGAGCCCGUGCUCAGAAUUGAAUAUCCGCUACCAUGUGAUGGAGCUGCCAAGGUGCACCCAUCAACCAUCGUCCUGAAUCCGUGGAGGUUCCAGUGCCCAUCAUUUAUUCCAGUAUAA